rnacentral:tRNA from 2 species
GCCGCUGUGGUGGAAUCGGCAGACACAAGGGACUUAAAAUCCCUGGCUGGCAACAGUGUGCGGGUUCAAGUCCCGCCAGCGGCACCA